AUUGAACGCUGGCGGCAGGCCUAACACAUGCAAGUCGAGCGGAUGAAGGGAGCUUGCUCCUGGAUUCAGCGGCGGACGGGUGAGUAAUGCCUAGGAAUCUGCCUGGUAGUGGGGGAUAACGUCCGGAAACGGGCGCUAAUACCGCAUACGGCCUGAGGGAGAAAGUGGGGGAUCUUCGGACCUCACGCUAUAAGAUGAGCCUAGGUCGGAUUAGCUAGUUGGUGGGGUAAAGGCCUACCAAGGCGACGAUCCGUAACUGGUCUGAGAGGAUGAUCAGUCACACUGGAACUGAGACACGGUCCAGACUCCUACGGGAGGCAGCAGUGGGGAAUAUUGGACAAUGGGCGAAAGCCUGAUCCAGCCAUGCCGCGUGUGUGAAGAAGGUCUUCGGAUUGUAAAGCACUUUAAGUUGGGAGGAAGGGCAGUAAGUUAAUACCUUGCUGUUUUGACGUUACCAACAGAAUAAGCACCGGCUAACUUCGUG
rnacentral:rRNA from 1 species